ACGCUCGACACCUACGGGAGCAGCAGUUGGGAAUAUUGGACAAUGGAGGAAACUCUGAUCCAGUGACGCCGCGUGAAGGAAGAAGGUCUUCGGAUUGUAAACUUAUUUUGUCAGGGAAGAAAAAAUGACUGUACCUGAAGAAAAAGCACCGGCUAACUACGUACCAGCAGCCGCGGUAAUCUGAGCGGGCGUGGCAAGGC
rnacentral:rRNA from 1 species